CCGGGUCCUAAGUUGACCGGCCGUUGUCCAAAACGAACUGAGUUGACCAUAAUUGACUGAUGUUGACCACUGUUUGACCGAACCCAAUCUGCUGUCGAUUACCGUUGAUCGAAACCGAGCCCCCAGUUGACCCGCGUUGACCAGUCAACCUGACUUGUUGACUGGUUUGACUUGUUGACCGGGUUUGACCCGUGUUGACCAGUUGACCGCUGUGUUGACUGAACUUCACCAAACACGAGCUGAGUUGACUCGGUCAUGACCCAAGCUGAACCGAGACAUGAGUGAAAACCUGACCCGAAACCGAGACCCGAACAUUGACCGAUAACUGACUUGCACUGGAUCUUCACCACUACUGCUAUUGUCCCCGGCGUGGCUUCGGCGGCUUCAGCCGUCGUCGAACCACCACCAUGUCUCCAACGACACCAUAACAUCGUCAUCAGUACCAUCAUCAUCGCACAAACAGAGAAGGAAAAGAAAAAAAAAUCAGAAGAUAGAACCUUUAACGGAAAAGUUAACCGAUCGGAAUUAAAAACCAAGGAAGAUAAGUGUUCGAGUUUACCCGGAGUAUAACAACGCCACUCGUCGACGUCGAGAAAUCACCGCACCGGCUCCGUCACCGUCGCUGCAGACGGCCGACGCAACCAUCGUCGUGCACCGCCGGCGCUUCUUUCUUUCAUCGGCUCCCGUGUCUUCCUCUCCCUGUCAUCACUUCUCUCUCGAACCGUCUCCCCCAUCCGCUUAUCUCUCCCUCUUGCUUGAAACAUCACCCCGCACCACCCACCACAGCGCCGCCGCCUGUGGUGGUGUUGCUGCUGCUAUAGUCCGCCACCACCAAAAGAUGGUGAGUUUCCUCUUUUUUUUUUGUAAUAACCCGACAAUAAAAGGUUGUCGUAUUUUGUCAAAACUCAACAAUUCAACGAACAUUAUAUAUAAAGUUUACGUCGAAUAUCAAAACGUCAAAAUAUGAAAUUAAAUCACUAAAUGUAAAACCGUUAGUUAGUCGGGUCGAGCUCGGUUCGCGU
rnacentral:lncRNA from 1 species